AGCUCAAGGGUUUUCAGCUUGGAAGAUAUAUGUGGCUCUAAGUCAAUAGAUAUUAUGACUAAUACUACUGUACCUGUGUGGGCUGAAUGAAUGGAAAGAGAAAAAGUUCCCUUGUUAGUCCCCCUCCCCUGGGGGAUCAGUGUUGUUCCACAACGCCUGGGGAGCUAGCCUGGAGUGCCUUGCUCAGGGACACACCUGCUGCUAGGGUCGGGGAUCAAGCCAGGGAUUUUCUGCUUCCCAGGCUGAUGCUCUACCUACUGAAUAAAGGGAUGCUCUUGGGAGACAUCUACUGUCCAACAUCAAGCAUCACUAAAGUCUCCUUUCUUCAGUACUCUUUGACAAGCAGGACAACUUUGGAAAUGCGCAUUAGCCUGAAACCACAUCCGGACAUUCGUAGUGUGUUUGGGCUCCAUUAGAUGGCAGCAGCAUCCAAGUGAUAGCUGUGUGAGGCAGUUUGCCUCUGCAGCAGGACAUUCCUGCAUAGUUUGCACUGUUUACUUAACUUCAUGUUACUUAAAAUAUUCACAAAUACAUGACAAGUCAAGGCCCUACAUCCAUCAAUGUGUAAUAGUUAUGUGACAUCGGCCUCACAGUAAGUGUGGAGAUGAAACAUCAGCUCCCAUUGGCUCCUCUAAUGUGGGGUCCAGUAUAAUCAAAUUGGCUGGUGAUAGUGUGUAAAUGUGUGUUGUUUCUACAGUAAUUAUGUCAAAAAAUACAAAAAGUUCCACGAAUCCCUCACUGCUUCAGCUCAUUUAAAGUUACAGACUCCUCCAAUUUGCCAAAAUUUAGUAGAAGUGUUCCUUUAAGUUUAGCUUAGCCCAAUUAGCAGCAACAGAACAGACCCUAAACCCACAGAAUGAGACGUCCGUGUUUUUCCGUCUAGUUUGAGGAGAGCUACUCUCCCAGGAACCCGCGACCUUUGUGGCCUUUGAUGCAUAUGCCAUGUGGGUGUGGGAGCUGGACUUGACUGCUUCAGGCCUGAGUAAAUACUGUCGUCAUUCCAGGCAUGGCUGUGAAUAGUGGAGGAAGGAAACGUCUGUAAUCAGGGUAACACUGUUUCCCACAGCUGGGCCAGGGAGCAAAUCAGCUGCAGGGAGAUGAAUAUACGUAGGAUGCAUAUUGACCCAACAUUAAAAACUUAAUACUUAACUUAAUUGGACUCAAUUGUUGAGUCCAAGAAGCCUCAAAUACACUAAUUCUCAAUAGGAACAUCUGCUACUGCAACUACAGAACGAAGACUCCUUCAUGUGUUGUACAUUUAAAAAACAACUCCACAUUUAUGGAGCAGUUAAUACUUCCCUUGUGGUCUGGACUCUGUUCUUGCAGGCGGUCCCCCGAGGCUCAGGCCAUAGUUACAGUGUUUUUGUUACCUGUUAUUCCAGUGAACAAAUGUUUCUUCUGCUCCUUUUCUAGGGUGCUGUGCGUACAUGCGCUGCUCGCCUGGGCUCGCGUUUACGUUUGAUGGCUUUUCUGGCACGUCACACGCUCGUCCGGUGACCUCAUCGCAUCAGCGCGCGGCGAUGCUGCAUCAUUUGUCAAUGAAGGAGCUACAGCUGGCGUCACAUGGUUGCUGCCACAGUGGGUUUGAACAACGAAGAGUCUGCCCCUCAGGACAGACCACCGCCAACAGGAGGCUAUUUCUGCCCGUGGGCGCCCCCCGGCUGAACCCCCCGUCGAGGACACCGUCGGUCGGGUCAAACCGGGAGACAGCGGAGGACCGGCGUCAUCGAGCAGGAGCCGCUCAAGGGUUAAUUAGACUUAUGGGAACGUUAUGGUGGUUGAAAUCGUGGAAUGUUAGAAGGGAACCGUGAACGCGUCGCCUGCAAAUCACCCCAGGUUUCUUAAGUGUGUGCGAAGUCCAGAUUGUGGAGACAUUCCUGCUCGCCUGACGCACACACAAAUGGAAACCUUUUUUUUUUUUGCCUUCAUCCAAACACUUGUUCUGACUAUACCAGCAGCUAUUUUUAGACGCACUCCAGUUCAUGCUUUACUGUUGUGAACAGACAAUGUGGCUUUUUUUCAUUUUUGUCUACAGCCUUUCAAUGUACAGCAUAAAAAGCCUGUAGAUCUAUUUAUUUGACUAUACUAUGAAAAUAUAUUUAGUCUCAGACAUAAAACAUUAGUAUUAUUUGUGUUACAGUAUUAUUACAAUAUAAUAUGUAGAAUUCUUUACCAGAAAUGAUGGAGAGAGACAGGCAGUGUUGACUGUCUACUAACGCUGAUGAUGGUGAAGGUGCCAGUGCCUCCAUCUGCAAAUGUUAAAGUGACUAAAGCAACUGUUGCAAGGAGUGAAGUAUCACUUUCAUCAUAAAUAAUCCGGCUGUAAAGUUUGAAAGCUCUGUGAUUUAUCACCUUGCACCCCAAAGAAAUAGUUUGAUUAACUGAUUUGAAUGUGAGUAAGCAAAACAUCUGUAUUUGCUCAAGUCCUCAGUAAACUCAGAUUGGUCUGAUUUAGUCUGACACCUUGGCUCAGAACCUCAGCUGGAGCUGUGUGCUGUACAUACCUGCACUUAGAUUCAUUUAAAUACGCGUUUCAUCCAGACCAUUGAUGGGGUCCGGUAUGAAACAGAUUUGAAAGAAGACUGAUCACAUUUUCAGAGUGUGAACACUGCCAACACUUGAGAGAAGUUAAACUCUCCGUCUGUGGUAUGCGUCAGUUCAACGUCCCUACGCGGGUUUGGAUGUGAAUGAGCUCUUUGAUGCUCAGAGAAACUUUAUCUGGGGAAAAAGACGUUUUGUCAAUUUUUUUUAUUCUGUCUCUGAAAAGUAAUUUGGCAGUCAGGACCUCACUGAUUGUCAGGACCUCAGUGAAGCAGCUCCAGUGCACAGUAGUCUUUCAACAGUGCAGUUGGAGUGUUUGGACCCGUCACUGGGUCCCUGUGUGGAUCAUGGCACAGCAUUAAAUAUAGUUAAUGAUGCAUAUGAUACAUAUUAUAUCUUUGUUUUAAAGUUGACAUUUAUCAAAUUUAGAAAUGUGGACUUUUUCAGGCUCCAGUUACUCAAAUGAAAGUUUAGCUGAAAACUGUAUUUUACUGAAUGAAUAUGUAUGUGUUGUUGUCUUUACAUUAUAGAUAAUGUAAAUGUAUAAGAAACUCUUACAGGUGCUCAUCUGUUCACCUUGUGUGGCCUAUUUACAAUAACGAUCUACCAGAACACAUGAAUCUUAUUUGUGCUCAUCUAUGGUGUUGGGUCUUUGAACGCCUCCCUGCAUGGUCAGUAAAUGCUACACGUCGGCCCCAGUCAGUCAGCAAACUACAGACAUGCUUUAAAAUGACCAUUUAAGAAGUCGACCACUCUGGGAAAACAAACUCUUCUUGAUAGAUUCCCAAAUACAUCGGAAUAACUGCAGAUAAGGCGUGUGCAAAGCAAACAUAUUUUGCUUUAUUAUGUCAUGCUGUGACGCGUUUUCCAUUUAAUCUAAGCAGUUGUUUUUAAUUGCUGUCAGAAUUAAUAUCCUGUGGAUACAAGAUAUGUUUGCUGGUUCUCACCAAGCUACAUGUUAAUAUGUAGCUUGUUAAUAUCUACUAUAACGCAUUAGUGCACUUCUGUCAACAUAUAUUAAUUUGAAUCAAUGUUUAUUCACAUUGACUUGUUUUGUUUUCACUCAGUUGUGUUGCGCCGCAGAAUCAAAACAGAUGAACCGCAGGGUUUUAUAAUCCACACUAGACGUGCGGUUUUAGCGCUGAGCUACAAUUGAAUCUAGCAACUAUUUUAACACGUUAUUUCAUCAUGACUUGUAUCAACUAAUGUACAGAAUGUGACUUUGUUAGCACAUUGUGACACCAGAGAUAAAUAUACACAUAAAUACUAGUCGGCCCCCAGAAUAGGACGCUUCCAAGAGGGUCCGCUCUGAAUAACUGAUGAAAACACUGUCAGAGGCCUCGAUGAACCAUGUGACUUCAUGUUUACACACGAGAGAUGUUGAUGAAAGAGAACCAGUGAUUAAAAAUACAUGAUGUGUAAUGAUUUGUCUUAAUAGGAUUUAAGACACGAGGGAACGCAA